rnacentral:rRNA from 1 species
AAUGAACGCUGGCGGCGUGCCUAACACAUGCAAGUCGUACGAGAAAGUCUGGCUUCGGCUGGGCGAGUAAAGUGGCGCACGGGUGAGUAACGCGUGAGUAAUCUACCAUUUCGUUCGGAAUAACGUCUCGAAAGAGGCGCUAAUACCGGAUAUGACCACGGAAUCUUCGGGUUUUGAGGUAAAAGGCGGUCGAAUUAUGGCUGUCGCGAAGUGAUGAGCUCGCGUGACAUUAGCUAGUUGGUGGGGUAAAGGCCUACCAAGGCUACGAUGUCUAACUGGUCUGAGAGGAUGCUCAGCCACACCGGGACUGAAACACUGCCCAGACUCCGACGUGAGGCAGCAGUGAGGAAUUUUGCGCAAUGGGGGAAACCAUGACGCAGCAACGCCGCGUGAGUGAUGAAGGCCUUCGGGUUGUAAAGCUCUGUCGACUGGAAAGAAACUACACAUCAGUAACUGGGUGUGUAUUGACGGUACCAGUAAAGGAAGCACCGGCUAACUCCGUGCCAGCAGCCGCGGUAA